rnacentral:rRNA from 1 species
UACGGAGGGGACGAGCGUUGUCCGAAGUUACUGGGCGUAAAGCGCGCGUAGGCGGGGAGGUAAGUCCGCUGUGAAAGCCCGGAGCUCAACUCCGGAGGGUCGGUGGAUACUGCUUCUCUUGAAGGUGCUGGGGGGAGAUGGAAUUACCGGUGUAGCGGUGAAAUGCGUAGAUAUCGGUAGGAACACCAGUGGCGAAGGCGGGUCUCCUGGGGCCAU